UUUACUUUAUUUUCAACCGUGUUUACAGCAGUCAAACUUGCUAACCGCUCGACACACUUUAGCUGGGGACGAGGUAGGUCACCCACGUGGUUUUUACCGUGUGUGGCUGGUGUAAAGCGGAUAACAUCAAUUAACACAGACAGAGCAUCAGAUCUUCAAUCAUGAUGGCUUUCCAUCGCACUCAGCAGAGAUGUGUCAAUCUAUCAAUGUUGAAGCACCGCACAGUCACCAGCAAUCUAUGACAGCUCACAUUCAAAGAUCAAUUAACACAGACAGAGUGUCAGAUCUUCGAACUUCAAUCAUGAUGGCUGGCUGUGUAUCACACUCAGCAGAGGUGUGUCAAUCAAACAACUCACAGAGUGGCCAGCAAUCUAUGACGGCUCACAUCCAAAGAUCAAUUAACGCAGACAGAGUGUCAGAUCUUCAACCAUGAUGGCUGUCUAUCGCACUCAGCAGAGAUGUGUCAAUCUAUCAAUGUUGAAGCAUCGCAGAGUGGCCAGCAAUCUAUGAUAGCUCACAUCUAAAGAUCAAAUAACACAGGCAGAGCGUCAGAUCUUCAAUCAUGAUGGCUGGCUGUCCAUCGCACUCAGCAGAGGAGUGUCAAUCAAACAACUCACCGAGUGGCCAGCAAUCUAUGACAGCUCACAUCCAAAGAUCAAAUGAGCAAAGUCUCUGUUCGUCAAACUGAGCAAAGGAAAUGUCUUCAAGCUGUCGUUGUUGAAGCUCUGGUGACCAUCAAGCAAGCUGCCUUGACAACUCAGUCAACUUCCUGUGUACAGAUCAACUAAUCCAAAAACAUCACCCCACUGAGUGAGAACAUUAAGGAGCGCCUUGCUGGUCACUGCCUAUGGCACCCAGAGCUACCAGCCAAUAAAGUCAUUGUGUGGGAGCCAUCCCAAGGCAGGCAGACCUGUGCCAUCCCGGAAGACCACCAAGACCAUGCUCAAACAUGGGGCAACGAGACAACUUGGCAAGACCAUGCUCAAACAUGGGGCAACGAGACAACUUGGCAAGACCAUGCUCAAACAUGGGGCAACGAGACAACUUUGGUGGGCUGAGUGAGUGAGUAAUCCAGACAGAGAGUGUCGAACCAAUCAUCGCCCCAAGCAGUCAAUCAACCCUAUAGCAGAUCAAAAUCCAGACAGAGAGUGUCGGAUCUCGCAAGGAGUCGGCGCCCAUCACUGGUAGAGAUGCACAACCUCUUUGGAUCAAAAUCAAGACAAUGAGUGUCCAACCGAGCAAUGCCUUGAGCAAUCAAUCAACCUUAUUGAAGAUCAAAAUCCAGACAGAGAAUGUGGGAUCUCGCAAGGAGUCAGCAGCCAUCACUGGUAGAGAUGCACCACCUCUUUGUAUACUUUAAAAUUAUUUGUUUAUUUUAUGGAUAUAGUUAGAAACAAUUGUGGGGUGAAUCGCUCACACUUUUUGUUGUGUGGUCAA